rnacentral:rRNA from 1 species
UACGGGGGGAGCAAGCGUUGUUCGGAUUUACUGGGCGUAAAGGGCGCGUAGGCGGCCACCGCAAGUCGGUUGUGAAAUCUCCGGGCUUAACCCGGAAAGGUCAAUCGAUACUGCGGGGCUAGAGUGCAGAAGGGGCAACUGGAAUUCUCGGUGUAGCGGUGAAAUGCGUAGAUAUCGGGAGGAACACCUGCGGCGAAGGCGGGUUGCUGGGCUGACACUGACGCUGAAGCGCGAAAGCUAGGGGAGCGAACGGG